GGCAGCAGUGGGGAAUCUUCGGCAAUGGGCGAAAGCCUGACCGAGCAACGCCGCGUGAAUGAUGAAGGCCUUCGGGUUGUAAAAUUCUGUUAUAAGGGAAGAACGACUUUAGUAGGAAAUGGCUAGAGUGUGACGGUACCUUAUGAGAAAGCCACGGCUAACUACGUGCCAGCAGCCGCGGUAAUACGUAGGUGGCGAGCGUUAUCCGGAAUUAUUGGGCGUAAAGAGCGCGCAGGUGGUUGAUUAAGUCUGAUGUGAAAGCCCACGGCUUAACCGUGGAGGGUCAUUGGAAACUGGUCGACUUGAGUGCAGAAGAGGGAAGUGGAAUUCCAUGUGUAGCGGUGAAAUGCGUAGAGAUAUGGAGGAACACCAGUGGCGAAGGUGGCUUCCUGGUCUGUAACUGACACUGAGGCGCGAAAGCGUGGGGAGCAAACAGGAUUAGAUACCCUGGUAGUCCACGCCGUAAACGAUGAGUGCUAAGUGU
rnacentral:rRNA from 1 species